rnacentral:rRNA from 1 species
AACGAACGCUGGCGGCAGGCCUAACACAUGCAAGUCGAGCGGGUCCUUCGGGACUAGCGGCGGACGGGUUAGUAACGCGCGGGAACGUGCCCAAAGGUACGGAAUAGCCUCGGGACACUGAGCGUAAUGCCGUAUGUGCCCUUAGGGGGAAAGAUUUAUCGGCUUUGGAUCGGCCCGCGUUGGAUUAGGUAGUUGGUGGGGUAAUGGCCUACCAAGCCGACGAUCCAUAGCUAGUUUGAGAGGAUGAUCAGCAACACUGGGACCGAGACACGGCCCAGACUCCUACGGGAGGCAGCAGUGGGGAAUCUUAGACAAUGGGGGAAACCCUGAUCUAGCCAUGCCGCGUGGACGAUGAAGGCCUUAGGGUUGUAAAGUCCUUUCAGCUGGGAAGAUAAUGACGGUACCAGCAGAAGAAGCCCCGGCUAACUCCGUGCCAGCCGCCGCGGUAAUAC